rnacentral:lncRNA from 1 species
AUGAAUUGGUUGAGGGGGAAAUUUUUUGCUAAGUAUAGAAAUUGGGCUUUGGUUUAGAGGGAAAAUUUUGGGUUUAGAGGGAAAUGGGUUUUGGGCUUAGGAGGGAAAAGUUUUGGGUUUAUUAUGUGGUGGGAAAUAGGUUUAAGGUAUAUAUAGGGUUUAGGGUUUAGUUAGGUUUUAGAAAAAAAUGUAUUUUUUUAUGAAAUCUCAAAACUAUUAAUUAGAAUUUAAGAAUAUAAUAAACUAAAAAAAUUAAAUAUAUUAACAUUUUAAAACUAAGAAAUCUAGUUAUUUUAUAUUUCUAAAUUUUAAACUUCAUAAAUUAUAUAUAUAUUAACAUUUUAAAACUAAGAAAUCUAGUUAUUUUAUAUUUCCAAAUUUUAAACUUCAUAAAUUAUAAAUUUAUUAAAUAUUACAAAUUUAAAAACUUCAUAAAUUUAAAAACUUCAUAAACUACUUAUUUAUAUUACAAUUUUUUUAAACUUCAUAAACUACAAAUUACUAAGUGAUUACUUAUUUAUAUUACAAUUUUAAAAAACUUCAUAAACGACAAACUUACUAAGAACUUGAAUCAGAUUCCGAAUCCGAAUCAGUACAAGCCUCGUCUAAUUCAUCUUCUGAAACGUAUUCGUCAUUAGGAGGAAUAACUGGCGUGGAUUCAUAAUCUGAAUCAUCUUCGACUACAUACGCCUCAAUGCGCAACAUCACGCCCUGUGCAACAACUUGGUUGUGUGUAUCAUCUUGUAACGCAACAAGAGCAUCCUUAGACGUUUCUCGAACCCCUCUAGGCAUAACUUUUGUACAUGCCCACCAAUCGUUGGCUGAUGUAUGUCGUAUCCGCGGAUAAGGAAUAAAACAAACUUGAUCACAAUUACCAGAUAAGAUAAAUGGAUCAUAUUU